UAUUGCACAAUGGGGGAAACCCUGAUGCAGCAACGCCGCGUGAGUGAAGAAGUAUUUCGGUAUGUAAAGCUCUAUCAGCAGGGAAGAGAAUGACGGUACCUGACUAAGAAGCCCCGGCUAACUACGUGCCAGCAGCCGCGGUAAUACGUAGGGGGCGAGCGUUAUCCGGAUUUACUGGGUGUAAAGGGAGCGUAGACGGUUCUGCAAGUCUGAAGUGAAAGCCCGUGGCUUAACCGCGGAACGGCUUUGGAAACUGCCCGGCUAGAGUGCUGGAGAGGUAAGCGGAAUUCCUAGUGUAGCGGUGAAAUGCGUAGAUAUUAGGAGGAACACCAGUGGCGAAGGCGGCUUACUGGACAGUAACUGACGUUGAGGCUCGAAAGCGUGGGGAGCAAACAGG
rnacentral:rRNA from 1 species